AGGCAGAAACAGUUCAAGUAUUUCUGUGCUGGUGCCAGGAACAUGAGCAAUUAAAUGGAAGAAUUAGAAGGCCUCAUCCAGGAGGAAUGAGUAAUCCUGGGAACUGUGGAUAUGGGAGAACUUAUCUUCCAGAGCAUAGAUGGGAGAACAAGUGUUACGGAUACUCUUGAUCACAGAAAUUCUUGAUACCAGACAGAGACAGGGGAGUUUCCUGGAGGCUUUUCAAACCCUGGGGCUGGAACAAUCCCUCUGGACCUGAAGAUGACCAGGACACCGGAGAGUUCCUGCCCUGCUGAUCCCUGAGGUGCCUUGGGCUGGGCAGGGUGCUCAGAUCUCAGUCUGUGAAGGAAAACUCUGGAUGAGCACAGGAGACACAUCUCUUGGAGCACUGCUGUCCCACUGCUUCUGAUGUUUUCUUUCCUUCCACGUGUUCUUGCAGCCCUCCUGACUCCAGCAACUCAAACUCCAGGCCCUUCCCUCCCAAACACCACACAAAAUGUGCCCUGAGGAGAGCCCUCAGGGGUGAGAAACCUGUGCUGGCCUUCCUUGAAGGCCUUCCACCCCUGAGCCUGGCAGGCUGUGACCCCCUGGGACAAUCUGUGCUGCCCUGGGGCACAGUGAUGGCCAUGGAGCACCAGGACAGGGUCUCACAGAGGGUCAGGGCUGUGCUGCCCUCAGGCUGGGUGAAGGACCCCGCAGCAGAGCAGAUCCUGGCUGAGGCACUGAGCUGGGAAUGUGGUCCCUGCCCUCUCCCCUGGCCUUUUUGGGCACAUGAAGGAAAGUGUGAGGGACCACGUUGGGUCAGUGCCCAGAACCCAAGUUCACCCCUCUGACACUCCCCUGGGGACACCCCAAUUGUUGUUCAGACAUUGAUGAUGCCUCAAGACAAACUGAGAGCUGAAAUGCAGCCCAGAGGCUGGCUGGCAUCUCAGAGAACGACUGGCGAAUAAACCUUUAUGGCUUUGUUAAGGAUUUUGUGCAGGAUUCUCCCCUAAUUUAAGCUAAAAACGAGCAUCCUUAAACCCACCAGGAGCUCACGUGCGCGCUGUCACUCUGUGCUCUGACAGCCACAGAGAGGAACUCAGCAUUUGCUUUGUGCACACCCCGCCUCCCGCCGUCACCUCGCACAGGAUCCGCACCCAGACAGGCUCGGCACCACCUCUGCCUGACAAAAAACCCGGGGAAUGAGUGCCAGGGGCAGCGCCCCCACCCCGCAGCACCCGGGAGGAGUCACCGCCGUGAGCAUCAUCCCACCCAGCACACGGCUGGAACCCGGAGAAAAAGCGGCGUUUUCCUCAUUCACCCAAAAUUAUCCACCCACUGGAGCAGGUACUCCAUCCUGGUGACAAACAGGAGCUGCUGCUGCCAGCACAUGUUCUCCUGCAAACCCAGCCUGCAUCAUCUGCACAGCUCUGGUGUGCUCUGUGGCAGAUCAGCUGGAAAUGGCCAGGCCUGUGCGGGGUGUGAGCUCUGACACUGCCUGCACACACACUCACGGUGCUUCCAUCGCGUUCUGCUUUUUCAUUAACCCUCCAAGCCAGGGUUUGUUGUCUGUGCUUUUUGAUGGGUCCCAGCCCUCGGUGUGUCAGACACGGCACAAGCCCUCAGUGCUGCCUCUGAGAGCUGGCAGACUCAUAACCAUUUUUGGAUAGAAAAAUAUAACACUGCAAGGAAAAAAAAAAAUAAAAACCUUGGAUUGCAUGUAAAGAAAUAAAGCAAAAUGCUAUUCCCCCACUCCUGCUGUCUGUGCUUGAGCCUUCCAAGAAGUUCCUGUCCUCAUCUGUUCGGGUAUCAUUUUACAGCUCGAUGACAAACACAGAACUUGCCAGUUUAAACAUA